CCUACGUGUGGCAGCAGUGAGGAAUAUUGGUCAAUGGACGAGAGUCUGACCCAGCCAAGUAGCGUGAAGGAUGACUGCCCUAUGGGUUGUACACUUCUUUUAUCACGGAAUAAAACGAGGCACGUGUGCCUUUUUGCAUGUACUUUAUGAAUCAGGCUCGGCUAACUCCGUGCCAGCAGCCGCGGUAAUACGGAGGAUCCGAGCGUUAUCCGGAUUUAUUGGGUUUAAAGGGAGCGUAGAUGGGUUGUUAAGUCAGUUGUGAAAGUUUGCGGCUCAACCGUAAAAUUGCAAUUGAUACUGGCAGUCUUGAGUACAGUUGAGGUAGGCGGAAUUCGUGGUGUAGCGGUGAAAUGCUUAGAUAUCACGAAGAACCCCGAUUGCGAAGGCAGCUUACUAAACUGUGACUGACAUUGAUGCUCGAAAGUGUGGGUAUCAAACAGGAUUAGAUACCCCGGUAGUC
rnacentral:rRNA from 1 species